UACGGAGGGAGCUAGCGUUGUUCGGAAUUACUGGGCGUAAAGGGCGCGUAGGCGGGAUGGCAAGUCGGUCGUGAAAUCCCUCGGCUCAACCGAGGAACGUCGAUCGAUACUGCUGUUCUUGAGGAUUGCAGAGGAGACUGGAAUUCCCGGUGUAGCGGUGAAAUGUGUAGAGAUCGGGAGGAACACCGGUGGCGAAGGCGGGUCUCUGGGCAAUUCCUGACGCUGAGGCGCGAAAGCGUGGGGAGCAAACGGG
rnacentral:rRNA from 1 species